UACGAAGGGGGCUAGCGUUGCUCGGAAUCACUGGGCGUAAAGCGCACGUAGGCGGCUUCUUAAGUCAGGGGUGAAAUCCUGGAGCUCAACUCCAGAACUGCCUUUGACACUGAGGAGCUUGAGUCCGGGAGAGGUGAGUGGAACUGCGAGUGUAGAGGUGAAAUUCGUAGAUAUUCGCAAGAACACCAGUGGCGAAGGCGGCUCACUGGCCCGGUACUGACGCUGAGGUGCGAAAGCGUGGGGAGCAAACAGG
rnacentral:rRNA from 1 species